rnacentral:rRNA from 1 species
CGCGUAGGUGGCUUGAUAAGUCGGUGGUGAAAUCCCAUGGCUCAACCAUGGAACUGCCGUCGAUACUGUCAGGCUUGAGGGCGGGUAGGGGAGAGUGGAACUCCUGGUGUAGCGGUGAAAUGCGUAGAUAUCAGGAGGAACGCCGGUGGCGAAAGCGACUCUCUGGGCCGUUCCUGACACUAAAGCGCGAAAGCUAGGGGAGCAAACA